rnacentral:tRNA from 2 species
GGAGAGGUGGCCGAGUGGUCGAAGGCGCUCCCCUGCUAAGGGAGUAGACGUCAAAAGCGUCUCGUGGGUUCGAAUCCCAUCCUCUCCG